AAAUUGAAGAGUUUGAUCAUGGCUCAGAUUGAACGCUGGCGGCAGGCCUAACACAUGCAAGUCGAACGGUAGCACAGAGAGCUUGCUCUCGGGUGACGAGUGGCGGACGGGUGAGUAAUGUCUGGGAAACUGCCUGAUGGAGGGGGAUAACUACUGGAAACGGUGGCUAAUACCGCAUA
rnacentral:rRNA from 2 species